UGCCAGCCGCCGCGGUAAUACGAAGGGGGCUAGCGUUGUUCGGAAUUACUGGGCGUAAAGGGCGCGUAAGCGGACUGAUCAGUUUGGUGUGAAAGCCCGGGGCUCAACCUCGGAAUAGCAUCAAAUACUGUCAGUCUAGAAUCCCGGAGGGGAGUGUGGAAUUUCUAGUGUAGAGGUGAAAUUCGUAGAUAUUAGAAAGAACACCGGUGGCGAAGGCGACACUCUGGACGGGUAUUGACGCUGAGAUGCGAAGGCAUGGGUAGCAAACGGGAUUAGAUA
rnacentral:rRNA from 1 species